rnacentral:lncRNA from 1 species
UUUUUCUUUCUCUUUUUUUAUUCUGUUUUUCUGAUGUAUCUGCCAAUAUUAUAUUCUUCAGACUAAAUAUAGUACAUUUCUUUCAAAUUAAUUAAACAACUUGGGAAUUGGAAAGGCUGAAAAUGUGUUAAAGGUAAAACAACACGUGUCACUGUUAGGAGGCAAGCUGUUGAUGCACAUUAGACAGGCAGGUAUGGGCCCUAAGCUUUCGUCUUCUGCUUUCUGAAGACCCGGUUCACAUCCUCUACACCAGUGGUUUCAAACCGGUCCUGCGAAAACCCCCAGCGCUCCACAUUUUCUUUGUCUUCCUUCUGUGAAUCCCCAAACCUGAUUCAACUCAUAAGCAUAUUAGUAGAGACUGCAAGACCUGAAAUGGGUGUGCCAGAUAGAGGGAGACAGGGGUGCUUGCAGGACCGGUUUGAAAACCACUGCUCCACACAGACCUUAAGUGAGGGUUGAAUGAUGGGUGGGUGGGUUAGGGAGGGGGGUUGCAGGAGCAUUAGGUGAAUGUGUGAAGGGCAGAUCAGAAAGGGUGGGGGUGUGACACUGGGCAUUUCAAACCUCCAGUAAAAUACAUUCAGAUCGUCCGCCAGUUGGUGAUUCUCCACAGACUAUUGGGGUGGUUUCUUGAUCCUCAUCAGGCCUGACCAGACUGAUGCCGGUGUUCUGUCGAUUUGUCCUACGCUGUCAGAUUUUCCUACCUCCUAUUAAAACAGUGGGUAGUACAAUUCCUCAACGAAAAAUUCUACUGUAAAGUUAUGGUUUAUUAACGUCUACACUUACCACAACCCCAAUCAUACCCUUACAGUACUGCAAAUACAGUAAUUAUGUGUUAUAUUCACGGUUGUAGCUAGAAGGGAUACAGUUACACGAAACCAACAAUAAAUAUUAUUUUCUACCAAUUAGAUUGCGUUUUUAUUAAAGUCUACACCUACCCCAACCCUAAACUUACCCUUACAGUAAUGCAGAUACAUUAAAAAUCUGACAGGGUAGGAUAAAAUGUCAGGACACCUGGUCAUUGGCUGAAAACAGUCUUUUCAGCUUUACAGAGUAGUUUUUUAGCCACUCUGAUCUCCUUGUCAGUGUGUUUCUGGUCUUGAUAUACAAGAUUUCAUCCCUACUUCUAUAAGCAUCCUCUUUGGUUCUGGCUCUGUCCCUGAGCUCAUCCAGGAAGAAGAAUGUUAAUACCAGUCCAGCAAUUGUUAGACAAAUUUGUCAGAGAAAGAGUGGAGGAACUCAAGCCAAGAAUGUAAGAAGUUAUGUUCGCUCUGGACCUCCACAAUCUUCUUCCAGAUGGCACAGCUUGUCUUCUAGGAGCAAGAGACGGCACCACCACUCUCUGAGUCCAACUACUGACCAGGAAAGAGUAUAUCGUGGCCCUACUCCUACAAUUCCUGACCUGAUUUACCCAAACCCCAGAGAGUUUGCACGGCUUAAGAUUGCUUUAGAAAACAUUCUACCAGCUGAUGCUACAGAACGCUUUAAAUUUCAUAUCCUGCUAGAACAUCUCAAGGUUGAAGAGGCACAGUUAAUUGCUGAAUCUUACAGUAGUUCACGUCAUCCUUAUACCAACACUAUGGAUGCUCUCAAUAAACAGUAUGGCCAGCCACAUCAGUUAGCAUUACAGCGCAUAGUGGAAUUGAUGGAUGGGCCCAGCAUCAGCACUGGAGAUAUUAAAACUUUUCGAAUGUAUGCUCUGAGGGUGAGAUCCUUGGUGGGAAUGCUGAAACAACUAGGUAAGCCUGGCAUGGUGGAAUUAAGAUGUGGCUCGCAUGUGUCCAGACUUCUGAGUAAGUUGCCACAUGAUCUGCGUAGCAGUUUCAGAAGAUUUAUUUAUCCAUUAGAUGUGAAGAUUCCAACCCUCCUUAACUUAGCAGACUGGUUAGAAUAUGAAAUCCAAGUGCAAGAAGAUUCCACAAGGUAUGUAAGCCGUUCGGGCAGAGGAUACUCAACCAGUUUGCCCAGGGAUAGGUCAAGGAGGUUGACAUCAUUCAACAAGGGCACAGAGGUUCUGCUUAGCACAGAGAAAUACCCUUCAUCACCAUCACAUUCCUCAGCUGUCACUGCUAAGAUCACCAAGGGGAAAGCUUACUGCCCUUAUUGUGACAACAACAAACACACUUUGAAUAACUGUGUAAAUUUCUCUCAACUUUCCAAGUCUCAGAGGCAGAAUUGGAUUAAGGGGCACAACCGAUGCUGGCGCUGUGGACGGGGCCAUAGAUCAUCAGAGUGUAACCUUAAAAUGCGCUGCAAAACAUGCAAUGGUCGUCACUUGCUUGUUCUUCAUGAUGUUAAUAUAUGGAACAAGGAGAAAGUAGUGGAAGCAGAAGAUCCAUCUACUAGCCCUGUCUUGGGGGAGGCUGCAAAUGAGGUGUUAUUCAUUGACAAGCCCCCAGGAAGUCGUAAGGUACUGUUGAAGAUAUGUAAAGUGAUUCUAAGAAAUGGAGAUCGAUCGAUGACCGCUUAUGCCAUUCUGGAUGAUGGCUCCGAAAGAACCAUCUUGUUAAAUACUGCAGCAACCCGGCUGAAACUGGAAGGUAAGCCAGAGGACUUGCCCCUGCGUACUGUCAGACAAGAAUUAAAGGUCCUGCAUGGGGCGGCUGUUUCCUUUAACCUUUCACCAGCCUGCCAGCCAAACAAGAUGUAUCGGAUCAAUGGAGCAUUCACUGCAGCGGAGUUGGGGCUUGGAGUGCACUGUUAUCCUGUCAAGGCUUUACGGAAAAGGUACCGUCAUCUUAAAGGACUUCCCCUCCAAGAAAUUAAAGCUGCUCAUCCAGUUUUGCUCAUAGGAUCUGACUGCCCUCAUUUAAUUACCCCAGUUGAGCCAGUUCGUUUAGGUCCACCAGGGGGUCCUGCUGCAAUUAGAACUCUCCUUGGAUGGACAAUGCAAGGACCAGUUCAAGCAUUACAGCAUCUUCUUCGAGAGCAACAGUGUCUGUUCACAACAAGUUGGUCACCCUCUGCUAUGUUGCAUGAACAAGUUGAAAGACUCUGGCAACUGGAUGUCCUUCCGUGGAGAGAUGAGAGAAUGAGUACUCGAUCUGUACAAGACCAGCAGUCAAUGAAACUACUGGAGCAAAGAACUUCUAGAGUUGAUGUUGAUGGGAUUAAGCGAUAUGCUACCCCACUGCUAAGGGUCCAAAAUAUGCCCCCUCUUUGUGCACCUAAAGAAGCAGUAAUGCCUCAGUUAAGAAGUCUGGAGCGGCGUCUCAGUAAGUCCCCUGAGCAAGCAGCUAUCUACCAGGCUGAGAUUAAAAGACUGGAGCAGGCAGGCUACAUUGCUGAAUUGCAGUCAGGAGCAGAAGACGCUCAAAUAAGUUGGUAUAUCCCACAUCACAUGGUUGAACAUAAUGGGAAACAUCGAGUGGUUUUCAACUGUUCAUUCCAGUUUCAAGGGAACAAUCUCAAUGAAUUGUUACUUCCAGGGCCAACACUGACUUCUUCAUUACUGGCUGUGCUACUAAGAUUCCGGGAGCACUCAAUCGCGAUCUGUAGUGAUAUUAAAGGAAUGUUCCACCAGGUUAGACUCCUUCCAGAGGAUCGGCCCCUUCUCCGUUUCUUAUGGAGAGAUCUGCAAAGAGAAGUGGAGCCUAGAAUCUAUGAAUGGCAAGUUCUACCCUUUGGCACCACUAGUAGCCCAUGUUGUGCUGUCUUUGCCUUGCAGAAGCACAUCCUGGAGAAUAGUCAGCCUGGUGACAAGGUACGUAAUGCUGUACUAAAGGCGUUUUAUGUUGACAACUAUCUGCAAAGUCUGCCUUCUGUAGAUGAAGCAAGGCUCAUGGUAGACCAGCUGCAAAGUGUUUUAGCAGGGGGAGGAUUCGAACUCAGGCAAUGGGCCAGCAAUACACCCUCAACCAUUAGUCAUCUACCAGUGGCAUCCAGAUCUGACAGUGCUGAGCAAUGGAUUGCAAAGGGUAAUGCCAUCAACCAUGAAUCAGUGCUUGGACUUCAGUGGAACUGUGAAACUGAUACCUUGUCCUAUAAGCUCCGUGCUGUAAAGUGCCAAGAGGUUACCAUGCGCAACAUCUAUAAAGUACUUGCUAGCCAAUAUGAUCCUCUCGGCUACAUUAUCCCAUAUACCACACGUGCAAAGGUAAUAGUACAGCGAUUAUGGGAAAAGAAGAGGGACUGGGAUGAUCCUAAACUACCUGAGAACUUAGUCAAUGAGUGGAACAGAUGGGCAGGAGAGCUCAGUGAUCUACAAAAGAUAGUCUUACCCAGAUGCUAUUGCAGUGCACCAAAGGAUGAUGUUUCAAGCAAGCGUGGGAUCCAUAUCUUUUGUGACGCAUCCGAGAGUGCCUAUGGGUCUGUUGCCUAUCUUCGAACAGUAGAUCAAAGGGGAGAAGUGGAGAUCACUUUCAUAGUGGCCAGAUCAAGAGUGGCUCCUAAGAAACGUCUGUCAAUACCUCGUUUAGAGCUAUGUGCAGCCCUGACAGGGGCCCAGUUAGCAAAGAUCCUGCAGAAUGAAUUGACUUUGCCCAUUCAUCAAGUUUUUCUUUGGUCUGAUUCCACCACAGUUUUGACCUGGAUUAAAUCUGAAUCCUGCCGAUUCAAGGUUUUCGUUGGUACACGAAUAACAGAGAUUCAGGACCUUACCAGCUGCUGGGAAUGGCGCUAUGUGCAUUCAGAAAGUAACCCUGCUGAUGACAUCACUCGAGGUAAAAGGCUGGCAGAACUUGGACCACAAAGCCGUUGGAAUACGGGACCAACAUACCUUCAACUCCCAUCUGAUCAGUGGCCGGUUCCACCGCCAUCCUGUUCCAUAGCUGGUGAUGAAUUGAGAAACUCUACAUUCUGUGGUCUGACUAAUACUGUAAUUCGUUUGUCUAUCCCUGAUCCAAGCCAAUUUCUGACCUUCCAAGAUUUAUUGACUGCAACAGUAGAAUCUCUUGGGGAACAUGGGAUCAAUGUAUCAGCUGAGGACUUUCAACAGACUGAAAUGGCUAUCCUUCAGCAAGCUCAAGGGGAAAGCUUUCCUUCUGAGAUGGCACAGCUUAUGGCAGGGAAACCACUACAGACCAACAGUCGACUGCUUUGCCUCGCCCCCGAACUUGACGCUGCAAGCAAACUCCUAAGGAUAGGAGGUCGUCUUCGCCACUGUGAAGAGAUUGAGCCCGAGUCGAUGCAUCCUAUUAUCCUUGAUCCCCGGCAUCCAGUCACUACCCUUCUCAUUAAGGAAUAUGACACGAAGCUAUUCCACCCAGGUCCUGAGAGAAUACUGGCGGAGAUGCGUAGGAAAUAUUGGAUUCUUCGGGGUAGGGAAGCAAUUCGACGUUAUCAGCGCAAAGAUUGUCCAGUGUGUCAGAAGUUUCGCAAAACCCCACAGAUACCCAGGAUGGCAGACCUACCUCCUGCCAGACUACGUCUAUUUAAACCUGCCUUCUAUUCGACUGGCAUUGACUGUUUCGGGCCAUAUUCCGUAAAGAUUGGACGUAAAAGUGAGAAGCGCUGGGGUAUUCUAUUCAAGUGCAUGACUACACGUGCUGUGUAUAUUGAUCUUCUCCCAAGAAUUGACACCGACUCCUUCCUGAUGGCCCUCAGAAGAUUUAUAGCCAGACGUGGGAAACCUUUUGAGGUUUUAUGUGAUCAAGGUACUAAUUUUAAAGGAGGGGAAAGGGAGUUGCAUCAGACAUAUGCUGAACUAGUUCCGGAGCUUCAGGAACAACUUGCCAGUCAGCAGAUUAUCUUUCGAUUCAACCCGCCUCAUGCCCCACAUUUCGGUGGGUGUUGGGAAAGGGAAAUUCGUUCCCUGAAACAGGCUCUACAGGUCACUCUGGGAACUCAACCAAUACCAGAGGAAACCCUUCAAACUGUGCUCAUCGAGAUUGAAGGGAUUCUAAAUUCUAAACCCCUGGGUUAUACAUCAUCCAAUGCCUCCGAUCCAGAUCCUAUUACUCCUAAUUCGCUUCUUAUGGGGCGGCCUGAUUCGUCCCUUCCUCAAGUGAUGUACCCCCAAAGUGAACUGUUGAGUCGACGUCGUUGGCGCCAUAGCCAAAUUAUAGCAGAUCACUUUUGGAAGCGGUUUAUCAAGUUCUAUUUGCCUGGUCUUCAGACUCGCAACAAGUGGCAGCGAGAGUCACCCGAUAUCAAGGUGGGAACUACUGUUAUGAUUGUGGACCCUCAAUUUCCCAGGGCCCUCUGGCCCAUUGGUCAGAUCUCUCAAGUAUUCCCUGGGUUUGACAAUAGAAUCAGGACUGUUGAAGUGAAAGUUAAGGACAAGUCUUAUGUGCGACCUGUGGCAAAGGUUGUACAGCUACCUGCGAUACCAGAUUGAAAUUGACUUGCCUUUUUAUAAUGUACAGAUUUCCACAUUCUUUAGAAAUCUGGGGGCGGCUGUUAAAAAGGCCUGCUGUAAACAAGCUUUUAUUUUGAAGUUUUCUGGUGAUCAGCCAGUGUUUCGAAUGUGAUGUCAUCGCAGCAACCUAAAGACACUAUGCUCCGCCCACUUCCAGCAGGUGGCAAUGAUUAGUGUUUGGUAGAAAUAGCCUGCACCGAGUAGGUGAAAGCAAAUGUACUCGAGGCUUUCUCAAGUGUUGGUGUUGUGCGCGUAUGUUAGAUGAACCAAACCACACCCAGAUGGAAACACCAAUGUAAUAUCUGCAACAUUUGUGAAUUGUUGUGAAGAAAAUAAAUGCAUCAAAGACUUAACCUGCAUCUUUAUGUCUCUUACCGGACAUCUGUGGUGAACUAGUCCCCCCACUGGCAACCCCAACUGGUCUAGUCCUAGCCAAAGAAGGACUUUUUUUUUAUUAAUAAAUU